rnacentral:rRNA from 1 species
UGCCUACGGGGCGCAGCAGUAGGGAAUUUUCGUCAAUGGGCGCAAGCCUGAACGAGCAAUGCCGCGUGAACGAGGAAGGUCUUCGGAUCGUAAAGUUCUGUUGAAGGGGAAAAAGAGCGGAGAGAGGAAAUGGUCUCCGAUUGAUAUUACCCUUCGAGGAAGUCACGGCUAACUACGUGCCAGCAGCCGCGGUAAUACGUAGGUGGCAAGCGUUGUCCGGAUUUACUGGGUGUAAAGGGCGUGUAGCCGGGCUUACAAGUCAGAUGUGAAAUCCGGGGGCUCAACCCCCGAACUGCAUUUGAAAC